rnacentral:rRNA from 1 species
GAUGAACGCUAGCUACAGGCUUAACACAUGCAAGUCGAGGGGCAGCAUGAUUGAAGCUUGCUUCAAUCGAUGGCGACCGGCGCACGGGUGAGUAACACGUAUCCAACCUGCCGAUAACUCGGGGAUAGCCUUUCGAAAGAAAGAUUAAUACCCGAUAGUAUAGUAUUUCCGCAUGGUUUCACUAUUAAAGAACUUCGGUUAUCGAUGGGGAUGCGUUCCAUUAGAUAGUUGGCGGGGUAACGGCCCACCAAGUCAACGAUGGAUAGGGGUUCUGAGAGGAAGGUCCCCCACAUUGGAACUGAGACACGGUCCAAACUCCUACGGGAGGCAGCAGUGAGGAAUAUUGGUCAAUGGACGAGAGUCUGAACCAGCCAAGUAGCGUGAAGGAUGACUGCCCUAUGGGUUGUAAACUUCUUUUAUACGGGAAUAAAGUGGAGUAUGCAUACUCCUUUGUAUGUACCGUAUGAAUAAGAAUCGGCUAACUCCGUG